rnacentral:lncRNA from 1 species
AGCAUUUGAGUCAGCAUUUUCAACCCAUGUACACCCAGAAGAAAUAAAAUGUGCCCAAACAAAAGCAAGUGUCAAUACGAGUACUAUUCAUAGUACAUCAAGAGAUAAAUAGAUAACUAAAUGUGGUAUACCUAUAUAAUGAAAUAACAAUUAGCCAUAAAAAAGAAUGAAGUAUUAAAAACAUGCUACAGGAUGGAUGGACCUUGCAAACAUGCUCAGACAAAAGAGAAUAAAUAUUGUGUGAUUGUAUCUAUACAGAAUGAGAAUUUGAAAUAUAUAUAGAGAGAGAGACAUGGGGCAGGCAAGAUGGCUCAGUGUAUAAAAACACUUUGCUGCCACAUCUAAGAACUUGAGUUCAGUCUCCAGAACCCAUGUUGUGGAAAUUAAAAACUGAUUCCCACAAACUAUUCUCUGACCUUCUUACUCAUCCUGUAGGAUGUGUGUGCCAAUGUAUAAUCACAAAUAAGUAACCAAUAUAUAAAAGUAGUAUUAUAUGACUGCCCUCUAACUAAGGUUAUGCAUUCUGAUCCCUUUCCCCAAAUAUGAUGGGUGUUCUGUUCUAUGUUACCUGUCUUGUUCUAUGUGGAAAAAAAUGGAUGACAUACCUUGAUGGAAUUUUGUUACAAGUUAAUAGGGGACAUCAGGAAGCAGGAACCCUCUGUAUCCUAUAUCCCCCUCUCCAAGAACUUUACAUACUCAUGAUUUAUGUAAAAAGCCUGCAGCUAUGCCCUUUUAACAGUCUAUGGAGUCAACAGCAUUUAGACAGGCACCUGCUCAGGGGCUGCUUAUCUCUUAGAUGCCUGCCUUUGUUUUCCCAGAUUUUGGAAAACCUGGGUAGCCUCCAACUUCAGUACUCUAGUAGAUUCAAUAAAAUAAACUGGAAUUC